CCUACGGGCGGCAGCAGUGGGGAAUAUUGGGCAAUGGAGGAAACUCUGACCCAGCAACGCCGCGUGAAUGAUGAAGGUCUUCGGAGUGUAAAGAUCUGUUUUAAGAGAAGAAGAACGUGACGGUACCUUAGUACUAAGCAUCGGCUAACUACGUGCAAGCAGCCGCGGUAAUACGUAGGAGGCGAGCGUUAUGCGGAAUGACGGGGUGUAAAGGGUGCGUAGGUGGUGUGGCAAGUUAGUAGCGUAACUCCAAGGCUCAACCUUGGAACUACUACUAAAACUGUUGGACUUGAGUGCAGGAGGGGCAACCGGAAUUCGUGGUGUAGCGGUGGAAUGCGUAGAUAUUAGGAGGAACACCGGUGGCGAAGGCGGGUUGCUAGACUGUAACUGACACUGAGGCACGAAAGCGUGGGGAGCAAACAGGAUUAGAUACCCCUGUAGUC
rnacentral:rRNA from 1 species